GGCCUUAUAGUUGAUUAACAACAUCAAACUGCAAAUUUGAAAGCGUACUAAAAUACUAAGGCUU
rnacentral:tRNA from 1 species